AAGUCGUAACAAGGUUUCCGUAGGUGAACCUGCGGAAGGAUCAUUAACAAAUCAAUUGUGCUACGAUGGGGGAAACCCGGUCGUAUGCAUAUAAACCCGAACCCGUGCAGCAAUGCCGGGCUAGGUGUGUGCACUAAUCACAGCAAUGUGGACAUAUUAGUGUGCACGGCCGAGAGUAAGUGCGCAAGUGCUUACCCAAAGCCAAAUAGACGCUUGUAUGUUUUGACAGAUCUAGUUGACAACAAAAAAUUGACAACUUUUAACAAUGGAUCUCUUGGCUCUU
rnacentral:misc_RNA from 1 species